GGAUGUGAGGGUGAUCUGGCUGCGACAUCUGUCACCCCAUUGAUCGCCAGGGUUGAUUCCGCUGAUCUGGCUAGCUAGGCGGGUGUUCCCUUUCUCACUGAUCCAUGUGCGUCCCUCCAGAAGCUGCGAGCUUGGUCGAAGAGGACGACCUUCCCUGAUAGAGGAGGACCAUUCUUCGGUCAAGGGUAUACGAGUAGCUGCGCUCCCCUGCUAGAACCUCCAAACAAGCUCUCAAGGUCCUUUACAUUUAGAUACACAAACUGCAUGCAUUAACUUCUGCAUUUGAAACCCUAGGGCCAAUAUAUGC
ensembl:misc_RNA 7SK 7SK RNA